rnacentral:rRNA from 1 species
GACGGAGGGUGCAAGCGUUGUUCGGAAUUACUGGGCGUAAAGGGCGCGUAGGCGGUCUGUUAAGUUCGGUGUGAAAGCCCCCGGCUUACCCGGGGAACUGCGCCGGAAACCGACAGACUCGAGUACCGGAGAGGAGGGUGGAAUUCCUGGUGUAGCGGUGAAAUGCGUAGAUAUCAGGAGGAACACCGGUGGCGAAGGCGGCCCUCUGGGACGGAUACUGACGCUGAGGCGCGAAAGCGUGGGGAUCAAACAGG